AGUUUAAAGAUGCGUUACAUCAAAUUACAUUCAAAUUUAUAUAUUGGAGUUUAUGUAUAGCAGACGGACCUCGCCCCCGAAGGGACUACUAUCCGUCUCACAAGUUCACAGGUGUGUGUGGAUGAAUAGAGGAGGCGUGCACAUGCCCCAACGAAGGGGCCAGCGACAACCAACUCUAGUUUCAUUCGAUAAUGAUCCUUCCGCAGGUUCACCUACGGAAA
rnacentral:misc_RNA from 1 species